rnacentral:rRNA from 1 species
ACUCCUACGGGAGGCAGCAGUCGAGAAUUUUUGACAAUGGGGGAAACCCUGAUCGAGCGACGCCUCGUGGAGGAGACUUCGGAUUGUAAACUCCUGUCAUUGGGGAACAAUGCGUGACGGUUAACUGCCGUCGCGCUGAUAGUACCCGAAGAGGAAGAGACCGGCUAACUUCGUGCCAGCAGCCGCGGUAAU